rnacentral:rRNA from 1 species
UGACUACAAUGCCCACUCAAAGCGAUGCCACCCGGCAACGGGGAGCUAAUCGCAAAAAGGUGGGCCCAGUUCGGAUUGGGGUCUGCAACCCGACCCCAUGAAGCCGGAAUCGCUAGUAAUCGCGGAUCAGCCAUGCCGCGGUGAAUUACCGGUUCCCGGGCCUU